rnacentral:rRNA from 1 species
GACGAACGCUGGCGGCGUGCUUAACACAUGCAAGUCGAACGGAAAGGCCCUGCUUUUGUGGGGUGCUCGAGUGGCGAACGGGUGAGUAACACGUGAGUAACCUGCCCUUGACUUUGGGAUAACUUCAGGAAACUGGGGCUAAUACCGGAUAGGAGCUCCUGCUGCAUGGUGGGGGUUGGAAGGUUUCGGCGGUUGGGGAUGGACUCGCGGCAUAUCAGCUUGUUGGUGGGGUAGUGGCUUACCAAGGCUUUGACGGGUAGCCGGCCUGAGAGGGUGACCGGCCACAUUGGGACUGAGAUACGGCCCAGACUCCUACGGGAGGCAGCAGUGGGAAAUAUUGCACAAUGGGCGGAAGCCUGAUGCAGCAACGCCGCGUGCGGGAUGACGGCCUUCGGGUUGUAAACCGCUUUCGCCUGUGACGAAGCGUGAGUGACGGUAAUGGGUAAAGAAGCACCGGCUAACUACGUG